rnacentral:tRNA from 1 species
GGAGAGAUAGCUCAUCGGUUAAGAGCACUGACUGUUCUUCCAGAGGUCCUGAGUUCAAUUCCCAGCAACCACA